AGAGGUUACUGCUAUCGGAGUUCGAUUAAGCCAUGCGAGUCUAAAGGUUUCUUCGGAAACCUUGGCGGACUGCUCAGUAACACGUGGAUAACCUACCCUUGGGACUGGAAUAACCCCGGGAAACUGGGGAUAAUACCGGAUAGAUCAGGGAUGCUGGAAUGCGCCUUGAUCUAAAGCUCCGGCGCCCAAGGAUGGGUCUGCGGCCUAUCAGGUAGUAGUGGGUGUAAUGUACCUACUAGCCAACGACGGGUACGGGUUGUGAGAGCAAGAGCCCGGAGAUGGAUUCUGAGACACGAAUCCAGGCCCUACGGGGUGCAGCAGGCGCGAAACCUUUACAAUGUGCGAAAGCAUGAUAAGGGAACUCCGAGUGCCAGUAUCUAAUACUGGCUGUCCUUGUGCCUAAAACGCACAAGAUAGCAAGGGCCGGGUAAGACCGGUGCCAGCCGCCGCGGUAACACCGGCGGCCCGAGUGGUAGCCGCUAUUAUUGGGUCUAAAGGGUCCGUAGCCGGUUCGAUAAGUCCUCUGGGAAAUCUGGUUGCUUAACAAUCAGACUGCCAAGGGAUACUGUCGAACUUGAGACCGGGAGAGGUAAGAGGUACUUCAGGGGUAGGAGUGAAAUCUUGUAAUCCCUGGGGGACCAUCUGUGGCGAAGGCGUCUUACCAGAACGGGUCUGACGGUGAGGGACGAAAGCUGGGGGCGCAAACCGGAUUAGAUACCCGGGUAGUCCCAGCCGUAAACGAUGCUCGCUAGGUGUCAGACACGGUGCGACCGUGUUUGGUGCCGCAGGGAAGCCGUUAAGCGAGCCACCUGGGAAGUACGGUCGCAAGGCUGAAACUUAAGGAAUUGGCGGGGGAGCACUACAACGGGUGGAGCCUGCGGUUU
rnacentral:rRNA from 1 species